CCACCGCGGUUAGACGAGAGGCCCUAGUUGACCAAACAACGGCGUAAAGGGUGGUUAAGGAUAUAUCAAAAUAAAGCCAAAUGGCCCUUUGGCCGUCAUACGCUUCUAGGUGUCCGAAGCCCUAAUACGAAAGUAGCUUUAAUAACCCACCUGACCCCACGAAAGCUGAGAAACAAACUGGGAUUAGAUACCCCACUAUGCUCAGCCGUAAACUUAGACACCCAACUACAAUUUGGUGUCCGCCAGGGUACUACGAGCAUUAGCUUAAAACCCAAAGGACCUGACGGUGUCUCAGACCCCCCUAGAGGAGCCUGUUCUAGAACCGAUAACCCCCGUUAAACCUCACCACUCCUAGUCACCCCAGCCUAUAUACCGCCGUCGUCAGCUUACCCUGUGAAGGCAACAAAAGUAAGCAAAAUGGGCACAACCCAGAACGUCAGGUCGAGGUGUAGCGAAUGAAGUGGAAAGAAAUGGGCUACAUUUUCUAUUACAGAACAUAACGAACAUGCACUAUGAAAUAAUGCUUGAAGGAGGAUUUAGUAGUAAAAAGGAAAUAGAGUGUCCCUUUGAACCCGGCUCUGAGACGCGUACACACCGCCCGUCACUCUCCCCUGUCAAAACGCACCAAAAAUACCUAAUUAACUAGCAAUGACGAGGGGAGGCAAGUCGUAACACG
rnacentral:rRNA from 1 species